GCUCAGUUGGCUAGCAGACGUCCACUGAUGUGGUUGUACACAGACGACGCCGAGCUAAAAACCUUAGAAAGAACGGCGGACUGACAUCCUCGUGAAGUGAGAAAGACGGACUGCCUGUCAUCCGUUCCGCAACUUCACGAGGCACUACCGAGAUCUGCUCGCUGGAGUUCUGAGAUUGUCGGCCAGUUUGCCUCACAUCUUUGGCUUACGGAACAGUUGGCACUCAGAAAACCUUCCGACUCCCGGCCUCCAUUGUUACCAGUCUUGUGCAACGCUUUCCCUUCUGUUCAUUCCUUAUCGUUUCAAAGAACAGGAACUGUUUUCAUUUGGAGCACGAUUACGGUUUCAUUCCAUCAUCCUCAUGUUUGUACCCGUCUGUAAAAGCGUCUAGCCUUCAGCAAACUGCUCCCAAGAAGCUGUGUGCUGUUUCGUACGUUCGAACUACGCUCGUUCUCGGAGUAAUUGUCGCUCCGCCUCAGAGAAUUCAACAUGCGCUUCAAUCUGCACAUGAUGCUGUUGGUGGCGUUGCUAACAGUAGCGUUCUUCGCCACAAGUUCGCGUGCCGCACCUGCAGAAAAGACCGAUGACAAAGUUCCGGAGCCAGAGCCUAAGCCGCCGGUGCGUUUGUAUCUGGAAGUCCCGGCGCCUGAGGGGCCACCGGUGCCCUUCAUGGGAACAAGGAACUGACACCAUUCGACAAUCUGGGAGUCUCGCGGACACGGAGGUAAUCGGGAGGAAGCAGGAACGCAAAAGGGGCCAUCAGACGGUGUUCAAAGCCGAGAAGAUGUUAGAAUCCUCUAUGAAUUGAAAUAAUUUGUAUUAUCUGCUCCCAGUUGACGUGUGGAUGAUGAUAUGUCUAUCACAUGCUACCGAUUGUCCAUUAUCUCGAUUCUGCGGAGUCACGAAUAGGAUUGAUUACUGCUAAGUGAACAGACCGCUGGUCCCAACCCCGCUACGGUCGAUAAUAUAACCCUCGGUCCGCUG